UUAGCGGAGGAAAAGAAACCAACAGGGAUUGCCCUAGUAACGGCGAGUGAACAGGCAAGAGCUCAGAUUUGAAAGGCACUUUUGUGCCGUUGUAUUCUGAAGUUAGGGUCCUGAGAAACGAUGCUUAAGUCUUCUGGAAAGGAGCGCCAUGGAGGGUGAUAGCCCCGUCUAGCAUUGACCUCAUAUAGGAUCUUAACAUGGAGUCGAGUUGUUUGGGAAUGCAGCUCAAAUGGGUGGUAUGCUCCAUCUAAAGCUAAAUAUCUGCGAGAGACCGAUAGUAAACAAGUACUGUGAGGGAAAGAUGAAAAGAACUUUGAAAAGAGAGUGAAAAAGUACGUGAAAUUGUUGAAAUGGAAGGGUAGGCCGCUAACCAUGUAGAGCCGUGUUUGGGGGGAAGAUAAAUGCUGUAGAAUGUAGCUCCUCGGAGUAUUAUAGAUGCAGUUCAUAUUCCCACCCGAGCGCGAGGUUCUCAGUUCUCGUAUCCCU
rnacentral:rRNA from 1 species